UCUAUUAUUUUUCAUCAAAAAAGAAUAACAUAUGUGGUCCUCGGCUCUCCACCUUCAAACGAAACUCCUUUGUAUCGGUUUUAGCUGAUGCUCUUGGCUAUACCUCAACGCCGCUAGUGUUCAAGUUCGGGCCAUUGAAGGGCUUUGAAGGACCUUUGCAAGGAAGAAUUGGAUCUUUUCCCAAGUUGUUGGUGUGUCCUCAAGUCCAAGGAUGAUGCCACUUUUCAAUCUUAGUAGUUUGACUAUGUCUAAGACAAUUGUUCUUUCUUUAUAUUAUGACAUUGUUGUAACCCUAUAUAUGGCAUAUUGUACUAGUGUAAGGGAUAUGCAAAAAUUUGUAAUUCUCUUUUAGAUGGUAUAUGUGACAUAAUGUUAGACUACUUAAAUGAA